rnacentral:misc_RNA from 1 species
UGGUCAUAUAUAAGCAAAACGAUAGUUAGUUUUAUCUGAUACACUCAGCCUAUACAAAAAGUAAAAGUGAAACCAAAACUACAACUAUAAGUUAAGGCACUAGCCUACACAAAACAUACCAAAAUAAUAAGUUUAGCCUUAAUAUCAUUUAAGGCACCAACCUACACAAACAGUAGCAAAAACUGCACCAACAUAUACAAAACAAUACCAACACAAUAGCAUUAUCCCCUUCUUGGCCUCAACUUUCAUAGUUGAUUUGUA